CUACGGGUGGCUCCAGUGGGGAAUAUUGCACAAUGGAGGAAACUCUGAUGCAGCAACGCCGCGUGGAGGAUGACACUUUUCGGAGCGUAAACUCCUUUUAUAUAGGAAGAAGAUGACGGUACUAUAUGAAUAAGCGCCGGCUAACUCCGUGCCAGCAGCCGCGGUAAUACGGAGGGCGCAAGUGUUACUCGGAAUCACUGGGCGUAAAGAGCGUGUAGGCGGAUUAAAAAGUCAGAAGUGAAAUCCUAUAGCUUAACUAUAGAACAGCUUCUGAAACUCUUAAUCUAGAAUAUGGGAGAGGUAGAUGGAAUUUCUGGUGUAGGGGUAAAAUCCGUAGAGAUCAGAAGGAAUACCGAUUGCGAAGGCGAUCUACUAGAACAUUAUUGACGCUGAGACGCGAAAGCGUGGGGAGCAAACAGGAUUAGAUACCCGGAUAGUC
rnacentral:rRNA from 1 species